GUCCCGGUAGCUCAGUGGAUUAGAGCGCUUCCCUGCGGAGGAAGAGGUCGCAGGUUCGAGUCCUGCCCGGGACGCCA
rnacentral:tRNA from 1 species